GUGCAGUGCAGUGAUCAUGAUUCAAUGCAGCCUCCCCUUCCCAGGCUUAGAAGGGGAUGAUCCUCCUACCUCAGCUUCCCAAGUAACUGGGACCACAGGAGACUUCAGAAACGAAGACCCAAAGACCCAUGGAACACUGUAUAUGCUUAUGAAGAGGGCUAUAUGAAGAGGGGACAGUUGUGUAGAAAUGUAAUUGGACAAAAAGGCUUAUGAUCUAACGGUAAUAAACCACAGGAAACUCAAUAAUGCCUGUUUGUUCAGAUUCUCAUUGGCCUUUCCGUGCAGCACUUCUUUCCUCUGAUAUAGGGCAGGACCCCUCUUGAAGGAGGGUCUUGUAACUUACUUCCAGGAAACGUAGGUCAAAGAAUUCCUUUAUGGCCAAUUCACACACAGGAAGGAAGGGGGAGGUCAGAGUCACCUUCUUGCUUCUGUAGUUUUCUUAACUGCCAAUGUGCUACAUUUUGGGAUGUUGUGUUCUGAGCCUCAACACUGAGAAACAAAGCCUGGGCCACUCUUUCUAGGCCAUUUCUCAGGGUUAUGCUUGCAAAGAGAACCCUUGAGAAACGAGGCAAUAUCUUUCUGUGGGACAAAGGGGAAGCUGUUUACUGCUUGCUAUAAAG
rnacentral:lncRNA from 1 species